GGGGGAAAGGUGGGCUGAGAAGAUGUGAGGCAGGACACAAGUGGUCUCUGAUACUGUCAGGUUUUUAUGAGCAAACAAGCAAAAACAUAUACUAUAUAAACAGAAUCAAUCAUGGGAAAGUUUCAAUACGCCACAAUCUGUUCAGAAACUGUUUAACUUCCAGUGACACCUAGUGGUGAAAUAUAGACACUCACAAGCAUCAAGUUACAGCUCUGAAAAUUUUACGUUGCUUAGUUUCACUCCAUUCUGAAUGAAAAACCCAGUGCCUGAUGUGGACAGUCACCUGCAGUAACAGCUGUUCAUCUGUUGGGACCUUUAUCUUAAUCCAGCAUUUUAAGAAGAGCAGGCCAACUCCAUUUGGUAGCUUGAAAACUUCCAUGUCCCACAAUUUGUUCGGUAACAAAGUCCCAGUGACACCUAGUGGUGAUACAUAGACAUUCACAAGCAUGAGGUUACAGCUCUUCCUUUGAAACUUCUGUUGCUCAACUUCACUCCAUUAUGGAUGAGAAAUCCAGUGCCUGAUGUAAACAGUCACCUUCAGGAACAAGCGUUCAUCUGUUGGGACCCUUAUCUUAACGCACCAUUUUGGGAAGAGCAGACAAACUCAAUUUGGUAGCUUAACUAUUCAGAUGUCUUGCUUCUUAUCUCAAUUUGUGGUUCAGAAGAAACGAUAUGCAAGACAGUGGAACAGUCUAUGCUGCCCACCUACUUGAACAUACCCACUCUUGUCCUCUAAGGAAUAGAGAACCCAGGACUCCGGUCCCUGCAGGAACAGACUUAGUUACAAGCACCUAGGAAGGGCCAAGUCCUUAGGGGUCAAGGCCAGAAGCAAGGGGCACCAGAACACUCAGGGGCCCACAUGUAACUGGAACUGUGUAUGGGAGCAUGGAAGCUGGGGGUAAAGUCUAACCAUAGGCCAUUUCUCCCCAAGGCUAUAGAGUUUCAAAUUUGAGAAUUUAGUUUAAGAAAUAAUCCCCCACUAAUAGGUCAUAAAGAUAUUCUGAAGUAUCAUAUGCUGUAAACUUUGUAUUAUUUUUUGCGUUUAAGACUUAUUCUAUUGUGAAUAAACCUUUGCUUGUGUCUUUCAAAAAUUA